rnacentral:rRNA from 1 species
CUGGCUCAGGAUGAACGCUAGCGACAGGCUUAACACAUGCAAGUCGAGGGACAUCACGGGAGUAGCAAUACAACUGGUGGCGACCGGCGCACGGGUGAGUAACGCGUAUGCAACCUACCUAUCAGAGGGGAAUAACCCGGCGAAAGUCGGACUAAUACCGCAUAAAACAGGGGCACCGCAUGGUGAUAUUUGUUAAAGAAAUUCGCUGAUAGAUGGGCAUGCGUUCCAUUAGGUAGUUGGUGAGGUAACGGCUCACCAAGCCGACGAUGGAUAGGGGAACUGAGAGGUUGGUCCCCCACACUGGUACUGAGACACGGACCAGACUCCUACGGGAGGCAGCAGUGAGGAAUAUUGGUCAAUGGGCGGGAGCCUGAACCAGCCAAGUCGCGUGAAGGAAGAAGGAUCUAUGGUUCGUAAACUUCUUUUGCAGGGGAAUAAAGUGCAGGACGUGUCCUGUUUUGUAUGUACCCUGAGAAUAAGGAUCGGCUAACUCCGUGCCAGCCGCCGC